GCUACUACUACUACUACAAGUAGAAGACCUGUCAAGUUAACUUCUGGUUAUUCAGGUGCACCCAUAGAAGGAAAUACCAUCGGGAACUAAUCAGUCGUUAUCUCGUCUCUUGAUGAUUUGCCCAGGUUGCACACUACUUUUAGCCAUUUCAGUAUUUCCAAACACUAAAUUUACCGCAGACUAGCAGGCUCAGAAGAAAGGGUUCACUUCAUUGCAAAUAUGAACUGUUUGGAAUCUACUAGUACAAAGGCAAGCCAUAGAAAAGUGACUGCAGUUGUAGUUGGUGCAGGUAACAGAGGAAAGAAUUAUGGAAAUUAUGCCAUCCAGUUUCCUGAUCUCUUUGAUAUAGUAGCUGUUGCUGAGCCAAGAAGACAUGCACGGGAAUAUUUUCAGCGUAACCAUUCAAUAGAAACAGAGAAGUGCUUUGAUGGAUGGGAAACGCUGGUUUUGCAAACCAGACUUGCAGAUUGUGCUAUUGUGGCUACUCAAGAUCAGGAUCAUGUUAAACCUACUGUUAAGCUGGCUAAGAUAGGGUACCAUAUAUUGCUUGAAAAACCCAUGGCUGUAACUGAAGAAGACUGUCGGACAAUUUAUGAAGCAUGUCAAGAGGCUGGAGUAAUGUUAGCUGUGUGCCAUGUUUUACGAUAUCACCCUCCAGCUAGAAAACUGAAGGAACUCAUAGAUUCAGGAUUAAUUGGAGAAGUUGUUAACAUUAAUCAUACUGAGCCUGUAGGAUUCUACCACUUUGCUCAUUCCUUUGUCAGAGGUAACUGGCGAAAUGAGAAGAGCAGUACAUUCUCACUAUUGGCAAAAUGCUGCCAUGACGUGGAUUUGGUAGCCUUCUGGAUGGGAAACAAAAAAUGUACUAAACUCUCAUCCUUUGGAUCUUUGCAUCAUUUUAGAAGGAAAAAAAAGCCAGAAGGUGCAUCUGCCCACUGUUUAAGUUGUAAAAUUGAAACAACUUGUCCUUAUUCUGCAAAGAAGAUAUAUCUUGAUCCCAAGCCAUUGAAACCUCAGUGGCCCAUGAGUAUUGUUUGUGAUAUUGAAGAUGCACCAGAAGGUUAUUUAGCAAGAUUGACUGAAGCUGUUAGAACAGGUCCAUAUGGGAAAUGUGUUUAUGACACUGACAAUGAUGUUUGUGACAAUCAGGUUGUGAACUUUGAAUUUAGUGAUGGGUCUACAGCAACCCUUACCAUGAUAGCCUUCAGUCAACAAUUAUGUAAUCGUAAAACUGAGGUUUAUGGAACACUUGGGCAACUUGUUUGGGAUGAAUCAAAGGGUCAUAAAAUUGAUCAUUAUGACUUCCUAACAAGAACCAGCAAAGUUCAUCACUGUGAACAGGAGUCUCCACUUGGAUGGGGCCAUGGUGGAGCUGAUUAUCAUCUGAUAAAAGCAUUUGUUGAAGCAGUUGCAUCAAAUGAUACAACACUUAUUUCAUCAGGCCCCAGGAUUUCACUGGAGACACAUCUGUUAACAUUUGCUGCUGAACAUUCUAGGAAAAGUAGCACAAUAGUAAGACCAAAUGAAGACUCAAGGUGGAUGGUGCAGUAAUAAUCAAGAAAUCGAGUACCUGUUAAUAAUCUUAAGAUAUGUUAAAGGUGUGGUUUGUAAUAUAUAUUGUAAAACAACACUAAUUUCCCAAUAAAAAUGCAUAUGGGCUGGUUGUAUCAAGAUUGAGCUAGUUCCCAGAAAACUUGGUGAUGUGCUGCUACUGAAGUUCAUACAGGCAUAAAGGAUCCAAAAGUAAACCAGUGACAGAAAGCAACUGAAAAAUGAAACUGCCUGCAUUUCCACUUCAGUCAUCACCAUAACAACCAGCCACCAAAGACAGGAGGUGGAUAAAAGAAUUGCCAUGGAUCUGAUUGGAAAGAACCUCCCCACAUGCAGCAUUUAAUGCAUCGCCAGCAGAAGCACUCUACUGUCAGUCCUUGGCAAUUCCAGCAGACAUUUUCCAAGACCCAACCACCCACUCUAAUGUCGUAGAGCCAUUAAUGUACGUAAUGCCAUGCAUUCAUCAGAUUAGAUAUGCCCAUCGGCCCUCCAAUCAUCUGCCUACUUAGGACCCCUCACAAAAUCUUGCAGCAAAGGGACAAAGCCUACCAAAUAUCAGUGCACGGAAGAACAACCUGAGUACUGAUCAACAGACUUUGCCCCACAUACCUGCCAGAAGUUGGGACUUUCUCCCGAAUUAAGAUGGUCUAAAUUGUGUACUCCAAUCAGGGAGGGGAUUUACACUGUUUGGGCUGAUUUGGUGACCAAGGAAUUCUACUGUUGGUUUUGCCCAUUUGUCCUUCCACCCUAUGAGUCCAUUUUCUUUAGGUAGUUACAGGACCUGUCUGAUGUCUCAUUUGUUGAUGUUGGGGCUGAGUAUCAGAAUGGCAUCAAUGAAGACUAUACUGAAGGGUAGGUCACCCAUGAUUUCGUCUUUCAUACAUUGGAAGGUCGUGUCUGCAUUCCAAAAGCUGAAGCAGCAAUAAUUUAAUGCGUAUGUGAUGAUGCCCACCUUUACUAUGAUGCCAGCGGGUACCCAUCGGGUUGUGCUUUCAAGUCAAGUCAUCCAAGGUCACCAAGGGCCGUCAGCUUUUGGUACGAUGUGGAGGGGAGAAGCCCACAGGCUGGUGGCUUUAUGGCAUAUUCCUGCCUGUUCCAUGUCCUGGAAAGCGUGUUUGGGGCCAAAUGUCUGAAGCAGGCUUGGACUGGGGGACCCUCUGUGACUGUGAUGCUGAACAUGGUGCUUUGCAGGUUUGGUCAGGUCAUGCUUGAAUACUGCCACUGGUGCUGGAGUCGGAUUAAGUAGGAUUACAGGUGUCGUGACAUCAGCUGCUGCCUUGCAAUGUCCACCAGCAUGUUGUGGUCAUUUAGUCUGCUCCUAUAAGUGCAACUGUUACAUCUGCAGUGAUGAAUAUCCAGUUGCACUUCUUUCUGCCUAAUGACAAUGGUCUGUCUCCCGUAUAUUUUUAGCCCAUGCCUGCAGGAAAAGGAAAGGAGUAGUAUAGGUGUCAAAAAGGCAUUGUGGAUUUUAUGUGGACUACGGAAGGAGGGAAUGUGCUGUGACCAGCGUUUUAAGAGAUGAAAAAAAAUUAUAUUACGUAGAAAUGGGUGGCUAGCAUGGUUAAGUGCAUUGUAGCACAAAUCUUCAAUCCUUAGAGAAAAAUGAUUGCCUGUAACGCCAUAUAGUAUUUUUGAUUAAAUCUAAUUUUUGAGCCAUAUAGUCUUUUUGCUUAAAUGUAAAGCCAUGUAUUUUUGAACCAAACAUGUUAAGUUUGUAUGAAGACAAUAAAUAGUUUUUCAAUGUAGAUGUUUGUGUU